AUGGGGUGGGCUACACACGUGCUACAAUGGCGACUACAAUAGGUUGCAACGUCGCAAGGCUGAGCUAAUGCGUAAAAGUCGUCUCAGUUCGGAUUGUCCUCUGUAACUCGAGGGCAUGAAGUCGGAAUCGCUAGUAAUCGUGGAUCAGCAUGCCACGGUGAAUACGUUCUCGGGUCUUGUACACACUGCCCGUCACGCCAUGGGAAUUGGCUUAACUCGAAGCUGGUGCGCCAACCGUAAGGAGGCAGCCAUUUAAGGUUGGGUCGGUGACUGGGGUGAAGUCGUAACAAGGUAGCUGUAGGUGAACCUGCGGCUGGAUCA
rnacentral:rRNA from 1 species